UACGUAGGGUGCAAGCGUUGUCCGGAAUUAUUGGGCGUAAAGAGCUCGUAGGCGGUUUGUCGCGUCGACUGUGAAAACCCGAGGCUUAACCUCGGGCCUGCAGUCGAUACGGGCAGACUAGAGUUCGGUAGGGGAGACUGGAAUUCCUGGUGUAGCGGUGAAAUGCGCAGAUAUCAGGAGGAACACCAAUUGCGAAGGCAGCUCGCUGGGACGUUACUGACGCUGAGACGCGAAAGCGUGGGGAGCAAACAGG
rnacentral:rRNA from 1 species